CAUUCAGUGAAGAGAAUAGUUCAGUUUUUCAUAAUUUAAUAAUACGAUUUACAAUAUUAAUUUAAAAAGAUGUCUAUGUGCUCCAGUAACCGCUGAACACCAGGUGGGCUGUGAGCUCGUCCACCGAUCUAAGCAAUAAAAAAAAAUCUAUCCGCCCGGACUCACAAGAGGCCCUACCACCAGCGGAAAACAAAGGUGCCUUUUUGUUGUAUCAAUUCGAAAUGGAGAAAAGAUUGCAAUACAAUUCGAAAAAUACUGUCAUAAAAGAUCGCUGAAAAAAGUAAGCAUUCGCUGCUGAUCUAGUUUCAACCUUCUGCGAUACGCAUUUAUGUGACAAAACGACAUGUACCUGAUGAUGGGUAGGUAUGUGGAACAGUGCGCGAGGUGCGUCUAGUCACCGCCGCUACCGGCAGCAUGGGUCCAGCGGAUGGCGCUCUCCUGCUCUCGCCUUCACGGAAACACUUCCUGUUUAUUUGUGUUGAGCCUGGCAGUACUCCGCGCUGUCCAAGCGGAACUCCAUCAAUGUCACCACAGAAGGGAUCUCCAGCUGCGAUCGAAAAACAAAACAAUUUUAAAUACAUUAAUCGAUGACUCCACUACACUGAUAGUUAGUUUAUAAUUAGUUUUUCGGAAUUCGGUCCCGUGUAUAUUUAAUAAAUUAAGAUAAAUCAA